UACGUAGGGCGCAAGCGUUGUCCGGAAUUAUUGGGCGUAAAGAGCUCGUAGGCGGUUCGGCAAGUCGGAUGUGAAAUCUCCACGCUUAACGUGGAGGGGCCAUUCGAAACUGCCGUGACUCGAGUCCGGUAGGGGAGUGGCGGAAUUCCCGGUGUAGCGGUGAAAUGCGCAGAUAUCAGGAGGAACACCGGUGGCGAAGGCGGAUCUCUGGGCCAUUACUGACGCUGGAGGAGCGAAAGCGUGGGGAGCGAACAGG
rnacentral:rRNA from 1 species